rnacentral:rRNA from 1 species
UUGAACGCUGGCGGCAUGCCUUACACAUGCAAGUCGAACGGUAACAGGUCUUCGGAUGCUGACGAGUGGCGAACGGGUGAGUAAUACAUCGGAACGUGCCCGAGAGUGGGGGAUAACGGAGCGAAAGCUUUGCUAAUACCGCAUACGAUCUACGGAUGAAAGCAGGGGACCGCAAGGCCUUGCGCUCAUGGAGCGGCCGAUGGCAGAUUAGCUAGUUGGUGGGGUAAAGGCCCACCAAGGCGACGAUCUGUAGCGGGUCUGAGAGGAUGAUCCGCCACACUGGGACUGAGACACGGCCCAGACUCCUACGGGAGGCAGCAGUGGGGAAUUUUGGACAAUGGGCGCAAGCCUGAUCCAGCCAUGCCGCGUGCGGGACGAAGGCCUUCGGGUUGUAAACCGCUUUCAGCCGGAAAGAAAUCGUCAAGGCUAAUAUCCUUGAUGGAUGACGGUACCGGAAGAAGAAGCACCGGCUAACUACGU